rnacentral:hammerhead_ribozyme from 1 species
AUCCAGCCGAAGAGUCCAAAAUAGGACGAAACACGCGUCCUGGAU